CUCCAGACUCCUACGGGAGGCAGCAGUGAGGAAUAUUGGUCAAUGGGCGCGAGCCUGAACCAGCCAAGUCGCGUGAGGGAAGACGGUCCUAUGGAUUGUAAACCUCUUUUGUCGGGGAGCAAAAGACGCCACGCGUGGCGUUCCGAGAGUACCCGAAGAAAAAGCAUCGGCUAACUCCGUGCCAGCAGCCGCGGUAAUACGGAGGAUGCGAGCGUUAUCCGGAUUCACUGGGUGUAAAGGGAGCGUAGACGGCCAUGCAAGCCAGGGGUGAAAGCCCGGGGCCCAACCCCGGGACUGCCCUUGGACCUGCAUGGCUGGAGUGCGGGAGGGGCAGGCGGAAUUCCUGGUGUAGCGGUGAAAUGCGUAGAUAUCAGGAGGAACACCGGCGGCGAAGGCGGCCUGCUGGACCGCGACUGACGUUGAGGCUCGAAAGCGUGGGGAGCGAACAGGAUUAGAUACCCUCGUAAU
rnacentral:rRNA from 1 species